GGGUUGUGAGGUUAAGCGACUAAGCGUACACGGUGGAUGCCCUGGCAGUCAGAGGCGAUGAAGGGCGUGCUAAUCUGCGAUAAGCGCCGGUAAGGUGAUAUGAACCGUUAUAACCGGCGAUACCCGAAUGGGGAAACCCAGUGUGAUUCGUCACACUAUCAUUAACUGAAUCCAUAGGUUAAUGAGGCGAACCGGGGGAACUGAAACAUCUAAGUACCCCGAGGAAAAGAAAUCAACCGAGAUUCCCCCAGUAGCGGCGAGCGAACGGGGAGGAGCCCAGAGCCUGAAUCAGCAUGUGUGUUAGUGGAAGCGUCUGGAAAGGCGCGCGAUACAGGGUGACAGCCCCGUACACAAAAGCGCAUGUGCUGUGAGCUCGAUGAGUAGGGCGGGACACGUGGUAUCCUGUCUGAAUAUGGGGGGACCAUCCUCCAAGGCUAAAUACUCCUGACUGACCGAUAGUGAACCAGUACCGUGAGGGAAAGGCGAAAAGAACCCCGGCGAGGGGAGUGAAAAAGAACCUGAAACCGUGUACGUACAAGCAGUGGGAGCACAGGUUUACCUGUGUGACUGCGUACCUUUUGUAUAAUGGGUCAGCGACUUAUAUUCUGUAGCAAGGUUAACCGAAUAGGGGAGCCGGAGGGAAACCGAGUCUUAACCGGGCGUUAAGUUGCAGGGUAUAGACCCGAAACCCGGUGAUCUAGCCAUGGGCAGGUUGAAGGUUGGGUAACACUAACUGGAGGACCGAACCGACUAAUGUUGAAAAAUUAGCGGAUGACCUGUGGCUGGGGGUGAAAGGCCAAUCAAACCGGGAGAUAGCUGGUUCUCCCCGAAAGCUAUUUAGGUAGCGCCUCGUGAAUUCAUCUCCGGGGGUAGAGCACUGUUUCGGCUAGGGGGCCAUCCCGGCUUACCAACCCGAUGCAAACUGCGAAUACCGGAGAAUGUUAUCACGGGAGACACACGGCGGGUGCUAACGUCCGUCGUGAAGAGGGAAACAACCCAGACCGCCAGCUAAGGUCCCAAAGUCAUGGUUAAGUGGGAAACGAUGUGGGAAGGCCCAGACAGCCAGGAUGUUGGCUUAGAAGCAGCCAUCAUUUAAAGAAAGCGUAAUAGCUCACUGGUCGAGUCGGCCUGCGCGGAAGAUGUAACGGGGCUAAACCAUGCACCGAAGCUGCGGCAGCGACACUGUGUGUUGUUGGGUAGGGGAGCGUUCUGUAAGCCUGCGAAGGUGGCCUGUGAGGGUUGCUGGAGGUAUCAGAAGUGCGAAUGCUGACAUAAGUAACGAUAAAGCGGGUGAAAAGCCCGCUCGCCGGAAGACCAAGGGUUCCUGUCCAACGUUAAUCGGGGCAGGGUGAGUCGACCCCUAAGGCGAGGCCGAAAGGCGUAGUCGAUGGGAAACGGGUUAAUAUUCCCGUACUUGGUGUUACUGCGAAGGGGGGACGGAGAAGGCUAUGUUGGCCGGGCGACGGUUGUCCCGGUUUAAGCGUGUAGGUGUGUGUUCCAGGUAAAUCCGGUUCACUUUAACACUGAGGCGUGAUGACGAGGCACUACGGUGCUGAAGCAACAAAUGCCCUGCUUCCAGGAAAAGCCUCUAAGCAUCAGGUAACAUCAAAUCGUACCCCAAACCGACACAGGUGGUCAGGUAGAGAAUACCAAGGCGCUUGAGAGAACUCGGGUGAAGGAACUAGGCAAAAUGGUGCCGUAACUUCGGGAGAAGGCACGCUGACACGUAGGUGAAGUGAUUUACUCAUGGAGCUGAAGUCAGUCGAAGAUACCAGCUGGCUGCAACUGUUUAUUAAAAACACAGCACUGUGCAAACACGAAAGUGGACGUAUACGGUGUGACGCCUGCCCGGUGCCGGAAGGUUAAUUGAUGGGGUCAGCGCAAGCGAAGCUCCUGAUCGAAGCCCCGGUAAACGGCGGCCGUAACUAUAACGGUCCUAAGGUAGCGAAAUUCCUUGUCGGGUAAGUUCCGACCUGCACGAAUGGCGUAAUGAUGGCCAGGCUGUCUCCACCCGAGACUCAGUGAAAUUGAACUCGCUGUGAAGAUGCAGUGUACCCGCGGCAAGACGGAAAGACCCCGUGAACCUUUACUAUAGCUUGACACUGAACAUUGAGCCUUGAUGUGUAGGAUAGGUGGGAGGCUUUGAAGCGUGGACGCCAGUCUGCGUGGAGCCGACCUUGAAAUACCACCCUUUAAUGUUUGAUGUUCUAACGUGGACCCGUGAUCCGGGUUGCGGACAGUGUCUGGUGGGUAGUUUGACUGGGGCGGUCUCCUCCUAAAGAGUAACGGAGGAGCACGAAGGUUGGCUAAUCCUGGUCGGACAUCAGGAGGUUAGUGCAAUGGCAUAAGCCAGCUUGACUGCGAGCGUGACGGCGCGAGCAGGUGCGAAAGCAGGUCAUAGUGAUCCGGUGGUUCUGAAUGGAAGGGCCAUCGCUCAACGGAUAAAAGGUACUCCGGGGAUAACAGGCUGAUACCGCCCAAGAGUUCAUAUCGACGGCGGUGUUUGGCACCUCGAUGUCGGCUCAUCACAUCCUGGGGCUGAAGUAGGUCCCAAGGGUAUGGCUGUUCGCCAUUUAAAGUGGUACGCGAGCUGGGUUUAGAACGUCGUGAGACAGUUCGGUCCCUAUCUGCCGUGGGCGCUGGAGAACUGAGGGGGGCUGCUCCUAGUACGAGAGGACCGGAGUGGACGCAUCACUGGUGUUCGGGUUGUCAUGCCAAUGGCACUGCCCGGUAGCUAAAUGCGGAAGAGAUAAGUGCUGAAAGCAUCUAAGCACGAAACUUGCCCCGAGAUGAGUUCUCCCUGAGACUACGAGUCUCCUGAAGGAACGUUGAAGACGACGACGUUGAUAGGCCGGGUGUGUAAGCGCAGCGAUGCGUUGAGCUAACCGGUACUAAUGAACCGUGAGGCUUAACCUUACAACGCCGAAG
rnacentral:rRNA from 1 species